UACGGGGGGGGCAAGCGUUGUUCGGAAUUACUGGGCGUAAAGCGUGCGCAGGCGGUUUUGUAAGUCUGUCGUGAAAUCCCCGGGCUCAACCUGGGAAUGGCGAUGGAGACUGCAAGGCUAGAAUCUGGCAGAGGGGGGUAGAAUUCCACGUGUAGCAGUGAAAUGCGUAGAGAUGUGGAGGAACACCGAUGGCGAAGGCAGCCCCCUGGGUCAAGAUUGACGCUCAUGCACGAAAGCGUGGGGAGCAAACAGG
rnacentral:rRNA from 1 species